rnacentral:rRNA from 1 species
GAUGAACGCUGGCGGCGUGCCUAAUACAUGCAAGUCGAGCGAACAGACGAGGAGCUUGCUCCUCUGACGUUAGCGGCGGACGGGUGAGUAACACGUGGAUAACCUACCUAUAAGACUGGGAUAACUUCGGGAAACCGGAGCUAAUACCGGAUAAUAUAUUGAACCGCAUGGUUCAAUAGUGAAAGACGGUUUUGCUGUCACUUAUAGAUGGAUCCGCGCCGCAUUAGCUAGUUGGUAAGGUAACGGCUUACCAAGGCAACGAUGCGUAGCCGACCUGAGAGGGUGAUCGGCGACACUGGAACUGAGACACGCUCAAGACGACUACGGGAGGCAGCAGUAGGGAAUCUUCCGCAAUGGGCGAAAGCAUGGCGGAGCAGCGCCGAGUGAGUGAUGAAGGUCUUCGGAUCGUAAAACUCUGUUAUUAGGGAAGAACAAAUGUGUAAGUAACUAUGCACGUCUUGACGGUACCUAAUCAGAAAGCCACGGCUAACUACGUG